rnacentral:rRNA from 1 species
UACGUAGGGAGCAAGCGUUGUCCGGAAUCAUUGGGCGUAAAGCGUGCGCAGGCGGUUUUGUAAGUCUGUCGUGAAAGCCCCGGGCUCAACCUGGGAAUUGCGAUGGAGACUGCAAGGCUUGAAUCUGGCAGAGGGGGGUAGAAUUCCACGUGUAGCAGUGAAAUGCGUAGAGAUGUGGAGGAACACCGAUGGCGAAGGCAGCCCCCUGGGUCAAGAUUGACGCUCAUGCACGAAAGCGUGGGGAGCAAACAGG